rnacentral:rRNA from 1 species
AUAACCCCAGGUCAGGCGAGAUUACCUACUGAGUUUAAGCAUAUUAAUAAGUAGAGAAAAAUAAACUUACUAGGUUUCCCCUAGUAAUGGUAAACGAACCAAGAAUAAUCAAACUUGAUAAUCAGGUGCCCAUAGCAUUUGAAUUAUUGCUUGGAAAAGUGUCCUUAGUGAUGGAUCAAAGCCAAAGUACCCUAAAAAGGGGAGACAGAGAGGGUGAGAGUCCUAAAUGGGUAGUAAAUUCUAUCCAAGGCUAAAUACAAGUGAGAACCCAAUAGUGAACAAAUAUCGCAAGGGAAAGAUGAAAUGGACUUUGGAAAGAGAGUCAAUGAGUACUUGAAAUUGUCAAGAGGGAAGUAGAUAGGGGCCGAUGAUGCACCCUGAUUAAAUGUGGUAUAAUGAGAGCUGGUUUAUUGAUCAGCUCAAGGAAUGGAUUAACACAGGUCAUAGUAGCGAUCCAAGCCUAAGCUUUUGUUAUGCCCAUAGAGACAUCAUCGCCAUGAUCAUGGAAUGCACAUGUGCCAUCUCGGCAUGCCUCAGCACCAGCAUGCUCUUAGCAUUGGCCUGUAAGCUCCCUAUCUAGCCUAUCUUGAAACACAGACCAAGGAGUUGACAUGUGUAUAAGUCAACAAGCUAGAAAACUAGUAAGGCGCAAGGAAGUUGAUUGGCAGGAUCUCUUACAAGUGCACCAUUGGAUAACCUUGAUCUUUUGAGAAGGUUUUAAGUGUUUGCAUGCUUAUUGGGACUCGAAAGAUGGUGAACAAUGCCUAAAUGGGUCAAAGCUAAAGGAAACUCUAGUAAAGGCCUACAACAAUAUUGACAUGCAAAUCAUUCAUCUGAAUUGGGUAUAGGGGCAAAAGACUAAUUGAAUCAUCUAGUAGCUGGCUCCCUUUGAAGUUCUCUAAAGAUAGUUGGAGCCCUUAGUGAGUUUUAUUGGGUAAAGCCAAUGAUUAGAGGUAUUGAGGGCACAAUGCCCUUGACCUAUUCUCAAACUUUAAAUAGGUAGGAUGGCGUGACUGUUUUGUUAAGCUAUGCCAUGGAAUCAAGAGCUCCAAGUGGGCCAUUUUUGGUAUGCGAAAUUGUCAAUGCAAGAUGAAUCAAAAACUAGGUUACUGUGCCCAAUUACAUUGCUAACCUUGAACCCACAAAGGGUGUUGGUCAAUGAAGACACCAGGAUGAUGGUCAUGGAAGUCGAAAUCCACUAAGGAGUUUUAACAACUCACCUACCGAAUCAACUAGCCUUGAAAAUAGAUGGUGUUUAAACGCACAACUUAUUCUUGGUUGUUGAGGUAAGGGCCAGGCCCUAAUGAGUAUGAAAGUGUAUCAGUUGCCGUAAAACCUAGGGCAUAAGCUUGAGUAGAGCAGCCAUUAGUCCAGACCUUGGUGGUAGUAGCAAAUAUUCAAAUGAGAACUUUAAGGGCCAAUGAGGGGAAAGAUUCCAUGUGAAUGGGACUUACACAUGGGUUAGUCUAUCCUAAGAGACAAGUAAAACCCAUUCAACAGCAUGUCUAGCGCAAGCUUUGAAAGGGAGUUGGGUUAAAAUUCAUGAACUAGGAUGCAUCAGCUAAUAGCAACAUUAGGAAGUCCAAAGACAUCGAUGGGGGCCUCAAGAAGAGUUAUCUUUUUUGUUUAAUAGCCUACCCACCCUAAAAAUAGCUCAAUCGAAAGUAGGGUCUAGUUGCCAGAAGAGCACUGCACGUCACAUGGUGUUUAGUGCACGCUUGACUGCUCUUGAAAAUUUGGAGGAUUAGGUGUUGACCAUACCUAAUCAUACUUAUAACUACAUAACGUCUCCAUGGUGAACAACCUCUAGUUGAUGGAACAAUGUAGGUAAAGGAAGUCGACAAAAAUGGAUCCAUAACCUUGAGAAAAGGAUUGGCUCUAUGGAUUGGCAUGGGGUUUCCCAUCUUGAACCCAUUGGUUGUUGAUGCACUGCUUGAGCUACUCCCAUAAUAAGAGUGAGUCACUGCAUGCCAAUCGAGGGAUGGACUGGAAACGACUUAUUCGGGGGCCUUCCCCAAGCAUCGAAUAGUCAACUCAAAACUGGUAUGGAUGAGGGGAAUCUAACUAUUUAAUUAAAACAAAAGCAUUGUGAUGGUCCUUACAAAUGCUCACACAAUGUGAUUUUUACCUAGUGGUUUGAAUGUCAAAGUGAAAAAAUUCAACCAAGCACUGGCAAACAGUGGGAGUAACUAUAACUCUCUUAAAGGAGCCAAAUGCCUCAUCAUCAAAUUAGUGUUACGCAUGAAUAAAUUAACGAGAUUCUCACUAUCCCUAUUUACUAUCUAGCAAAACCACAACCAAGGGAAUGAGCUUAGCAGAAUUAGUUUGGAAAUGAGACCUUGUUGAGCUUAACUCUAGUUCGACUUUGUGAAAUGACUUGAGAAGAGUACAAUAGGUGGGAGCUGUAGGGAGCAAUUGAAAUACAACUACUUUUAACAUUAUUUUACUUAUUCCAUGAAUUGAAGGUAAGACACAACCCCUUCUUUUGGUCCCAAGACCGACCUCAGUCAGUCAAUAUGGGCAGAAGACAUUGUCAGGUGAGGAGAUUGGUUGGGGUGGCACAUUUGUUAAAAGAUAACACAGGCAUUCUAAAUUAAGCUCAAUGAGAACAAAAAUCUCAUGUGGAACAAAAGGGAAAAUGCUUGUUUGAUUCUAAUUUCCAAUACGAAUACAAACCAUAAAAGUGUGGCCUAUUGAUCUUUUAAACCUUUAAAAUUUGAAGCUAGAGGUGUCAGAAAAGUUACAAUAGGGAUAACUAGCUUAUGGCAGCCAAGCGUUAUAGUGACACUGCUUUUUGAUCCCUCAAUGUUAGCUAUUCCUAUCAUUGUGAAGUAGAAUUCACCAAGUGUUGGAUUGUUUACCCACAAAUGGGGAACAUGAGCUAAGUUUAGACCAUCAUGAGAUAGGUUAGUUUUACCCUACUAAUGGUAGCGUCACAACAGUAAUUCAACCUAGUAUAGGAUGAACCAUUGAUUAGCACAAUUGGUCAUUGCACUUGGUUGAAAAGCUAGUGGCAUGAAGCUAUCAUGUGUUGGAUUAUGACUAAAUACCUCUAAGUUAAAAUCUAGGCUAAAAGUGAAGCACACACCCAUUGCCCAAUUGCUGACCAUAGUAGGGGCCCAUGGCCCCCAAAGGUACAUGUUGUAGGUACAACCCCCAAGGUGGAUAAGCCGUAUAGGCAUCAUUGGAGCUCAAUUCCCAUCAAGCAAUGGGUAGAAUCCUUUGUAG